rnacentral:rRNA from 1 species
AGAGUUUGAUCAUGGCUCAGAUUGAACGCUGGCGGCAGGCCUAACACAUGCAAGUCGAGCGGAAACGAGUUAUCUGAACCUUCGGGGAACGAUAGCGGCGUCGAGCGGCGGACGGGUGAGUAAUGCCUAGGAAAUUGCCCUGAUGUGGGGGAUAACCAUUGGAAACGAUGGCUAAUACCGCAUGAUGCCUACGGGCCAAAGAGGGGGACCUUCGGGCCUCUCGCGUCAGGAUAUGCCUAGGUGGGAUUAGCUAGUUGGUGAGGUAAGGGCUCACCAAGGCGACGAUCCCUAGCUGGUCUGAGAGGAUGAUCAGCCACACUGGAACUGAGACACGGUCCAGACUCCUACGGGAGGCAGCAGUGGGGAAUAUUGCACAAUGGGCGCAAGCCUGAUGCAGCCAUGCCGCGUGUGUGAAGAAGGCCUUCGGGUUGUAAAGCACUUUCAGUCGUGAGGAAGGUAGUGUAGUUAAUAGCUGCAUUAUUUGACGUUAGCGACAGAAGAAGCACCGGCUAACUCCGUGCCAGCAGCCGCGGUAAUACGGAGGGUGCGAGCGUUAAUCGGAAUUACUGGGCGUAAAGCGCAUGCAGGUGGUUUGUUAAGUCAGAUGUGAAAGCCCGGGGCUCAACCUCGGAAUUGCAUUUGAAACUGGCAGACUAGAGUACUGUAGAGGGGGGUAGAAUUUCAGGUGUAGCGGUGAAAUGCGUAGAGAUCUGAAGGAAUACCGGUGGCGAAGGCGGCCCCCUGGACAGAUACUGACACUCAGAUGCGAAAGCGUGGGGAGCAAACAGGAUUAGAUACCCUGGUAGUCCACGCCGUAAACGAUGUCUACUUGGAGGUUGUGGCCUUGAGCCGUGGCUUUCGGAGCUAACGCGUUAAGUAGACCGCCUGGGGAGUACGGUCGCAAGAUUAAAACUCAAAUGAAUUGACGGGGGCCCGCACAAGCGGUGGAGCAUGUGGUUUAAUUCGAUGCAACGCGAAGAACCUUACCUACUCUUGACAUCCAGAGAACUUUCCAGAGAUGGAUUGGUGCCUUCGGGAACUCUGAGACAGUGCUGCAUGGCUGUCGUCAGCUCGUGUUGUGAAUGUUGGGUUAAGUCCCGCAACGAGCGCACCCUUAUCCUUUUUGCAGCGAGUAUGUCGGACUCCAGGGAGACUGCCGUGAUAAACCGGAGGAAGGUGGGGACGACGUCAAGUCAUCAUGGCCCUUACGAGUAGGGCUACACACGUGCUACAAUGGCGCAUACAGAGGGCAGCCAACUUGCGAAAGUGAGCGAAUCCCAAAAAGUGCGUCGUAGUCCGGAUUGGAGUCUGCAACUCGACUCCAUGAAGUCGGAAUCGCUAGUAAUCGUGGAUCAGAAUGCCACGGUGAAUACGUUCCCGGGCCUUGUACACACCGCCCGUCACACCAUGGGAGUGGGCUGCAAAAGAAGUAGGUAGUUUAACCUUCGGGGGGACGCUUACCACUUUGUGGUUCAUGACUGGGGUGAAGUCGUAACAAGGUAGCGCUAGGGGAACCUGGCGCUGGAUCACCUCCUU